GACGAACGCUGGCGGCGUGCUUAACACAUGCAAGUCGAACGGAAAGGCCCUGCUUUUGUGGGGUGCUCGAGUGGCGAACGGGUGAGUAACACGUGAGUAACCUGCCCUUGUCUUUGGGAUAACUUCAGGAAACUGGGGCUAAUACCGGAUAGGAGCUCCUGCUGCAUGGUGGGGGUUGGAAAGUUUCGGCGGUUGGGGAUGGACUCGCGGCUUAUCAGCUUGUUGGUGGGGUAGUGGCUUACCAAGGCUUUGACGGGUAGCCGGCCUGAGAGGGUGACCGGCCACAUGGGGACUGAGAGACGGCCCAGACUCCUACGGGAGGCAGCAGUGGGGAAUAUUGCACAAUGGGCGGAAGCCUGAUGCAGCAACGCCGCGUGCGGGAUGACGGCCUUCGGGUUGUAAACCGCUUUCGCCUGUGACGAAGCGUGAGUGACGGUAAUGAGUAAAGAAGCACCGGCUAACUACGUG
rnacentral:rRNA from 1 species